rnacentral:lncRNA from 1 species
GAUCUAUACUUAGAAUAUAAGAAGCUUAGUUUAAAGAAUAAAAAGCUAAAUCAGAAAAAUCUAUCUCUUGCUGAAAGCUAUGAUAUAACUCAGAAAAAUAAUAAAUUACUUUCAGAAGACAAUGAAAGGCUAACUAAAGAAGUUAACAAAUUUAAGCCUAUAGUUGAAAAAUUUACUAUCAGCUCUGAAAAACUGAACUUAAUGAUAAAUAAUCAAAGAGCUGAAUUUGAAAAGGCUGGAUUAGGAUAUCAAUCUUGGUACACACAAAAAUCCCUUAAUGACAUAUGUAUUAAAUCCUCCACUAUCUAUCAUAAAACGAAUUCUAAUUUAUCUGAUGAACCUAAUGAACAAAAAUAGAAAAUUAAAAAUCCAUCAUCUACUUAUAUUAAAUCAAUGUUUGUUAAAUUUAAUAAGAGUAUGCAAAAAUACAUUUCUUAUAAUC